GCCGGAGCCGAGCGGGGCGGAAGCGCGCGCUGUGCUGCUGCUCGGGCCCGACCGCGCCGGCCCCCGUACCUCCCGGCCCAGGCUGCGGGCUGCGGUCGGGGCGGUCCCGGGCCCAGGCGCCUGCCGCGGGACGCGCUUCCGCGAAGUCUGGCUCACGGGUUCCCGGAACGGGGCUGGAGAGAUGGCUCACCACUUAAGAGCUACUGAUUGCUCUUCCAGAGAUCCUGAGUUCAAUUCCCAGAAACCACUUGAUGGCUCACAACCAUCUGUAAUGGGAUCCAGUGCCCUCUUCUGGUGUGUCUGAAGACAGCUACAGUAUAUUCAUAUAAAUAAAAUAGGACCUGGAUUUCGUUUCUAGCACCCAUAUGGUGGCUUACAGUGGCCUAUACCUCCAGUUCCAGGGGUCCAGUGUCUUCUAGAUACAUUCAGGCACAUGAACAGGUUAGCGGUGAUUGCUAUGGGAACUGUUCCAACUCCAGGAUGCAGAGCGCUCUUCAGACAGCCAGGGUGCCUUGAUUAGCUGGCUUCAUCUUCAUCUCCAUCCAGAAGGCAUAGUUUAAUUUCUAUGCAUUGAGAGGACUAAGAUGUAUAGUGUUCAUCAGACAAGACCCUCCUGGGUCCCCACGAUUUCUGCUUGAUGUGUAUUUUUUAGAAAGAUUUAUUUAUUUUACAAAUAUGAGUACCCUGUCUUCAGACCCACCAGAAGAGGGCAUCAGAUCCCAUUACAGAUGGUUGUGAGCCACCAUGUGGUUGUUGGGAUUUGAACUCAGGACCUCUGGAAGAGCAGUCAGUGCUCUUAACCAACUGAGCCAUCUCUCCAGGCCUUGAUAUGUCUUUUUUUUUUUUUUCUUUUCAUUUCCUAUUGAGUUGUUGGCUCCACGGCCAUUAUUCCCUUUUGCAUGCUCUCCGUAAUGCCCGUAAAUUUCUUUUGUCUAUAGCGUGGUUUCGGCAGGUGAUCACUGAUGCAGGAAAUUUUUGCUUUGGAGUGGCUGAGCAUUCAUGGUGCCAAGUCCAUGGGCAUAAUUCAGUCUUGAUUCCACGGGAAACUGAGGACAAAGAACCAAAUGGUCUAUCAGUCCUCCCGUCACCAGGCUGCCAGCUCCUAGGUCAUUUAAGUAAAUAAAUCAGACCUCUCUCUGUUGGGUUCUGACCUGGGGGCUCACGGAAGAUCAUCGCCACCUCCUGGAAACUGUGAGCACAGAGAGCAGGAGGAGGGGCUGGGUGAUCGGCGCUUAAGAGCUCUUGCUUACUUUGCUCUUGGAGUGGACAUGAGUCUCAUUCCUGGUACUCCCAUAGAAGCUCAUAACUGCCUGCAUCUCUUUUUCCCGGCGGUCUGCUGCCCUCUUGUGGCCGUUCAUGCCUCCUGAAUUUACAGGGACAGGCAACCAUACAUAACACAUAAUUCAAAAUAAAUCCUCUUUUUCUUCUUGUUUUGUUCAGAUAGGAUUUCACUGUGUACCUUAAGCUAUUCUGGUCUACAGAGUGAGUUCCAGGACAGCCAGGGCUACACAGAGAAACCCUGUCUCGAAAAACCAAAAAGUAAAAUAAAACAAAACAAAAUAAAAUAAAAUAGGAUGCUGAAAUGUGGCUCUUCACAGCUGAUGGCUCUGUUGGGGGUUGAGGGGAAGAAGGACCUGGUGCCACUACGAGUUUGACCAUGAGCAUAUAGUAUAUACACAACACAGAUUGAACUUGGGUGUUUGCUGUUGUUUUUGUUUGUUUGCUUUCUUUUUAGGGAGAGGGGAGGCCACAAGGAUUGGGAGGCAAACCUGGGAGGACUGGGAAGUGGGUAUCCUGGGGUGGGGGAGGGUAUGUGAGUCAAUAAAUAAUCAAUAAAUAAUAUAUUU
ensembl:processed_transcript Gm11613 predicted gene 11613